rnacentral:lncRNA from 1 species
AUGCAACCCAGGCUGGUCUCAAACUGGCCGAAUGCUGAAUUUGUAGGAGUGCAUCACUAUGCCCUUUUUCUUUCAUUUUCCAAAUUCAGCCUUAGGGAUGAAAUACACAGGUAAUGAGAGGCCCUCAGAUCCCAGAGGACACCACAAGAAGAGAAGUCAGCAAAGUGCUGAAGACUCUGUCUCCAGCAACCAUAGGAAUGAACAGGACAGAAGAAUGAAGCUUCCACCCAGACCCAAACGUGUUUGACUCACUGCUAUAAGCAAUUCCCAGACCCAGCUUGUGCAAAAGAGGGAGCUAG